rnacentral:lncRNA from 1 species
AUAAAUCCAAUCUCUCACGACGAAAAAAUUAUCCUGUUGCCUCGCGGCGAGGCGCUCCUCUCCUUCCCCAAGCCUUCUCCCAUCCAUGGCAAAUUCUUUUGAUCUAGCGAACAUCGCAUGUUUUUCUCUCCUUCUGUUGUCCCUAAUAUUGCUCUUUCUCUUUCUCCCUAACAACCACCAAGCCAGAUACACCUAGGUAUGCCCUCACGUACGUACGAUUCCAACACUGGCAUGAAGAUAAAGAGGCAGGCAUCGAUGACCCCAAGCUACGUUUCUGAUCGGUUCCUCAACUAGACACUACCAUCUUUAGAGGUAACACUAAUGUCAGCUUUCCAGGAAAAGAGAAAAGGUUGAAUCUGUAUGGCAAGUAAAAUCCGUCGAAUAGUGCAGAUCUCUCAUCUGUCCAAGGUUUGUGGAUUUCUUAAUGUUUGCCACUGUUUUAGUCUUCUACUCUGAUAUUCAUUUGAUUUCAAAUUCCAUGUAAUACAAAUUUUAACUUUUGGAAGAUCUUUUUUCCACAAAUAUCUAGAUUGUUGCCAUAUCUGUGGAACUCUGGAGCGUCCGUUGUGUGGCGUAGCAGGAACAUCUCAUUGACAUAUCUCACCUCAUAACUGUGGAAGCAUUUAUGGAUGUGUGGCAGUAGGAUGCCGGACGCAGGCCCAGAACCAGUCACCAGCGCAUGUUUAAGUCAUGGGUGCGUCUCUCAAGCCCUCCCAAGUACCAUCAGAAUCUGUAUAAAAAAGCAUAACAACAUUGUUAGGCCUGACGAAAUCAAAUGAUCCGGAAAGAUAUACUGGUAAAACUGGAAAGCAUCCGGCAUCUCGCCAAGACAAACUGCCGAGUGGUAAGGAAAGGAAGUUUUGAAGCAAAUUCAUACGGUGCCCAGUAGACUGCUCUCUUAUUUUUCCCUUGGAGUUCUAAUGUACGUGUGCAUUCUCUGUUUUUAGAGUAUUUUGUUAUCAACUUACAAGCUGAACGCGCUUUCAAAUUGGAUCCCCUAUAUGCGACUAUGAAAACUUUGAAAUAUUAUUUUAUUUGCUAAUUUUCUUCGUUUGUUUUAGUUAUUUUUUGCAGCAUUAAUGGAAAGCCACCAAUGUUUUAGUUAUCUGCUAUGUACAUUAACCAAUGGUUUAGAUGGUAAUUCCGAACAAUCUCAGUAUAGAGAAUGGAUCACUAUUUACACUAUUUAGAAUACCAGAUUUUUAAUACAUUACCCUUCAGAUUUUGUAGAUUUAUAUUUAGAAUACCAACAUACAUAGCCCUAUCAGUUUCUUGAGAUACGCACCCAUAGCCUAUAUAGAAUACCAAUGUAAAUUUAUAUUUAGACGCACAAAUAUAUUAAAAUACCAAUGUAAAUUACCAUCAGAAUACCAAUGUAAAUUUAUUUUUAGACGCACCCAUAGCCUAUAUAGAAUACCUACAUUAGAUGCCCAAUGUACAUAGCCCUAAUUUAUAUUUAGAAUACCAAUGUAUGACCGUAAUUUUUAUAUAGGCUAUGUACAUUAACAAACAGUUUGUUAUAUUUUACGAUAUAGGGCGCUCGCCCAUAUCAGUUUCUUUGAUUCUGUUAAUUAUUUCUUUGCUGCUACACCGAUAUAUUACGCUUCAGAUUUUGUAGAUUGCUGCAGGUUGUCGGACAAGUAUUUCACCCAUUCAUCUAAUCACAACUUCGCGAGUUCACAAAAAAUAUCCAGAGGCAAACUGUCGAGUGCUGAGAAAAGGAAGUUUUGAAGCAAAUU